AUUUCGGGAACGUAGUGUCCUUAAUUAUUGUUCGAUUUCAUUUUUAUUAAGAUAUUUCAGGGGAGUUUUGAGUGCUGCAUAUGACUUUUAUCUGAGACUCUAUAAUCGUAAUCGUAAUCGCAACAUACACACAUGUUUCGACUAUAGCAACGGUUUUGUACAUACCGUGACAGUGGACAGUGAGAGUCGAUUAUAAAGCUAGGUCCUAAGGUGCUUAGCGCCUAAAAGAAAGAAAGAGAGAAAGAAAGAGAGGAAGAAAGAAAGCGAAUAAUAAAAAGAAAGAAAGAA
rnacentral:lncRNA from 1 species